AAAAAAACUGAAAGCGGAAAAAAAAUUCGAAAAGAAACGCGAAUUUGGUGCAAAGAUUGCGAGGUCGGACUUUGCCCGAGCCUUUUCGAAAUUUAUCAUACAAAAACUUCAUUUCUAAUAAAUGUUUUCAAUUUUAUACAAACAGUGAUAAGUUGUGAAACAGUGAAGUCCUAGUUGAACUUCAUGAGUUGUAGUAAUGUUUAUCAUCAAGUCUUCCCUGUAUUUUGGUGCCAGAAGUGGUUUGUUUUCGAUUCCGUGCCCAUAACUGGAUUAUGUUAGCUCACCUGUGCUGUAUCCUGAUCACCAUCGCAUCUGGAUUAAUAAAGUUAGCCUAUUUUUAGAAGGA